UCCGGUGGAUUAUCAAGUCAGUCGGUUGGGAAUCGUCGGAGCGUUACGACUUGCGUGUGGGUUGGUGACCGUCGUCGUGGUCGCGUGGAACAUUUCCGGAAGUUUCGUGUCGGUGUCGGUGUUUUGCUUCCGGGAGAUCCCCCGUCCCCAGCUGUCGUACUAGUGCGGUGGUACUACAAGCGGUUGUGUUUAGCCGUUCAGAUGUGUUUGUGUGUGCGUGUGGGGUUUGCGUGUGUAAUGCAAUAAUUUGCGGAGUGUUGACGUGUUCAACGCAUCGAUCUGCGGUAACCAGAGUCGACACACCAAAUAAACCAGAACUCAACUCAAUAUCCAGAACACACGUAUCUGUUUUUGCCAUCGUGCUCCAAAUCUCGGCGAGGUCUCGUGGGGGUAACGAGAGAAGACAUACGGAGCCCAAUUUAGACCCAAAAGCAAACAAACAACCCACCCAGAGUGGAGUGUUUGUAGGCUUCCAAACGGGGAGAGGGGGGCGUCGACACAACUUUCCCAGCCCCCGCCGUCUGACCUUGCUCGAAUUUCCAACGCCCCUUCUCGGUCUCAAAUUCCCGAUUGGUUGAAGGCGGCUGCUUAUUUUUGGUCAAUUUUUGGCGAUAAACUCAAUCAAAGCCCAAAUUUGUUUGCAAACAAGUUGUGAACAACAAUUUCCUCUCUUUUUGUUGUUGUUUUCAACCGUUGUUGAUGUCUCGACUUUCUCAAAAACGAAUCUCAUCUCCCGUUUCUUUGCCAGAAGAAAUGUGCGUUUAGCGAUUGAAUUUCCCCAGAACGCAACCACCGACCAGUUCGAAACAAGUGAAAAGUGAUAUUUAUUGCCGGUUCGAACGAGCUGUUUCUUCGCUUCUUUUUUUUUAUUUUUUCCUCUUGCCGACCCAAGAAUUUUCCGUCAACAAGUUGUUGGGUUGUGUUUUGGUUCCGAGUUUUUCCUCGAGUUCUCGUUCCGUUAAACUAUUAAUGAGCGAAUAAGUGGCUCCGUUCGUUUGCACUGGUCUGGACUUUGGACACUAAACAGCUCGAUCGUUGGCGGAAAGUGCUGGUGGCUAAUUGGCAUUCCCCCACUUUUGGAUGGCUGAUUUUUAAGGUAAGCAACCCAAACAAGACUAACCACUACAAGGUGAGAACACCCCAUUAAAUUAAGAAAGCUCGUGAAAGUGCCUGUCGUCGGCAAGGCAAGAAGAAAACAAACCAAAAACAGCACCGCAGAAAAGGAUAAUUUGCUCAAUUAAUUCGCCCAAGCUGGUGUAGGCGAAACUUGUUUGCUUUCGUGCAAGUUUUGACGGUUCUGCGAAGCAAUAGUGCAGUGGGGAGGAAAAAUUCAUGUAGACAACAUUUGAACAGCUUCUUACAGAGAAAUGUGCAGACAUGUGAACAGUAUCAUCAAUAAAAAACAGUGUUAUUUUUUAUAUUUUAACAUGAAUAAAUAUCGCAUAAAUUAGAAGAGACUCUUAAUUUUUUCCAUAAAACUUGAAUUUUGAAUAAAUUUCAACAAUAAAAAUGAAUAUCGACUUGCGUUAUUUAGAACAAUUUCAAUUUUUUUUUUCAAUAGCUAGCGCCGUUCACGAAGCUCAUUUUUCCUAGGAGACCUCCAAACUACAACGAACAAGGGGUUUAGUUCCGAAAUUUCACGCUCCAAAUUCGAAUUGUACCCAGCAGGUGGAGGCACUUCCGGUGAACUUUGUACAACCUGGCCCCGAGAGCUCUGGGACCCUCGUCAAGUGAGUGGUGCAGCAGCAGUUUCGGCACAAAUGGAAAAGGUAAAUAUUGGCGAAAGUUUCCCGCGCAUAAAGUAAGGACUUUCGUUUGCGGUAGAAAUGAACCCACACGUGGUCUCAACCGGGUGGAGCACGUACAGAGCUGGAGAAGGAAUUGCUCGCGGAAGUUUGAAAUAUUGCCCAGCACAAUUUUAAAGAUUUUUUUAUCUGUGAAGUUUAGCGCCCCUACAAAAGUGUUAACGUUAGUUAUCUUCUUUAAAAAAUAUAUAUUUUGCAUAACAUUUAAAAUAUACAAAAAAAAACUAAUCGGUGAUGAUGUUCUAACAACUUUCAAAUCUCACAAUUCACUAAA